rnacentral:rRNA from 1 species
GACGAACGUUGGCGGCGUGCCUAAUACAUGCAAGUCAACUGAAAUACCGGUAGCAAUACUGGUAUGGAGGUGGCGCACGGGUGAGUAACACGUAGGUAAUCUGCCUUCAGGUCUGACAUAACCCAUCGAAAGGUGAGCUAAUAUCAGAUGAUGCAGCGGCUUGACAUCAAGACAGUUGUUAAAGCUUCGGCGCCUGAAGAUGAGCCUGCGUCUGAUUAGCUAGUUGGCGGGGUAACGGCCCACCAAGGCUGCGAUCAGUAGCUGGUCUGAGAGGAUGAUCAGUCACACUGGAACUGAGACACGGUCCAGACUCCUACGGGAGCAGCAGUAAGGAAUAUUGCUCAAUGGCCGAAAGGCUGAAGCAGCAACGCCGCGUGAGGGAUGGAA